ACGACACCCGUCUCACUUAGAUGAUGUCAUUUCUGUUGCCGUUCUAGUUAGGAACGCUACAUUUUGGCGCAGCCGACAGUUUUCGAAGACCAGCGAUGCGGGUGACGUUUUUCGUCGACCAGGCGUCAUCAGAGUCUGUUGUGUUCACCCGAUACCAAGUGCAAGAGCCUGUCUACCACCACCCACCCAAGCAAGUUUUCCACCAUCAACCGAGACCCGUUUACCAUC